UUUUUUCGUUCCAUAUAUAAACAAAGAACCCGUCCUUUUGUUUCCCAUUUUCAUCUUCUCCAAUAUGGCAACUCCGAUUAGGGUUUCAUCUUCUUCUAUACGCUUCCAACUCACAACAGUCUACUUUCUCCCCAUAGAACCAGCUUUCGAUCAUCCAAAAACAAUCCCUAACGAUCUUUUUGAGGAAGAUGAAGGUUGUUAGCAGAUUUCAAUCUUCCGAUUUUGAUCGACCCAGCCUUCUUCUUCAAUCUAAAGACUAGGUUGCAAGGUUGAAGGUUUCGAAUCACAGGUUGAAGAGAAGAUUACAAUGACAAGAGCAAGACUGAGUCAAAGAAGGGGAAUUUGUGAAAAGAUCCAUAUCACAACUUGGGUAUAUUAGUUUGUCUUUACAGUCCAACACUUCAUGUUGUUCAUUUGCUAACAUAAGAUAGUUAUAUUCUUUGAUUUUUAUAAACUUUUAAUUUUGGAGUUAAGGUAUGCCAAACAGGCAUGGGAAUAAGUCUACAAUGUGUAUAAACUAGGUAUUUAGAUGGUGGGUCAAAUAAAUCAUUCGAUUGCGUCAGCCCCAUGCUUUUCUUUUCUAAGUCCUUGAAGAUAAGCUUGGCAUUGAUUGUACGCUUUUGGUGGUAACUUUAAGUCUCCAUUUUCUAUUUUUAAUCAGUCUUAACAAUUUUAUUUGUUUUGUUUGGUCACUAGGGUUUGCCUAAUUGAAGGAAAUCUGGAAAGGACAGAUUAACACUGUUCAUGUUAUAGUGGACAUGAAUCCUAAUGAAUUAGUGGCUGAUAUACUGCGGUAUCCAGAAAUUUUUUAGGCUUUGGAAAGGUGCAUUAUUUUAGUUAUUUGAUGUGUAAUUUGUUUAGAAAGCCUACUCGGUUUUUAUUUUAUUGUUUUUUAAGUUAUUCAUUACUAUGUAAGUUUUGUUCUUAGAAUCCAGGCUGCUACUUGGGAGCUUCACAGGAUAUGUGGGAAGGAAUAAGGAAAUAAAUGUGUCAUAGAGAGUUGACUUGGUGAAGGCGAUGGCGAUGAUGGGGCUUUAUGAUACGGCUUAUUGGUUAUCAUGGCUUACAUGGGAUGGGAUUAUCACCCUACUUUCAUCUAUGCGAUAUAUAUGUAAUGACAACGUUUCAUACUGUCUGCAAAAAUCUAAGUGACCUAUCAACAAAAUGAAGAAAUAUUGUUAUGGAAUUUGUUUCUUAAUUUCAGUAGCAAUCAAUAUAUUAUUUAGUAUAAUCAGGAGAUUAGUUGCCGGUCGUCAUUGACAUGGGGCGAGAAAGCAGUCGCAGAGGCGGAGGCGGUUGCAGCAAUCUCAUGCUUCGGCCACGUUAGACCAUUCCUUGACGGUUCGAUAUCUGACGGUCAACCUAUUUAUGAAUGCUAUGGUUAUUACAGUGAUGUGAAAUAUGUUGGAGAAUUUUCGGUCAUUGCUAAUGAUAGGUAUUUAUGAUAUUUGGGCUAAUGAUCUUGCUGGAUCCCUUGCUGUCCUCGAGUUGCUUGAGGCCAGUGGCGGAUCUUGCCCGUUGAACGUGCCAGGGCCGAAAGACACGGGCACUAAAAAAGCCCGGGCAAGCCCGGGCCAAACAUGGUAUAUAUAAAAAAAAUUCGAUUGAAAUGUGGAAAAUUAGCACUACGGCCGAAAAACUUGCCUGGACCGUGGCCCUGCCAAAGCCUAACUAAGAACCGCCCCUGCUUGAGGCUAUUGCAGAAAAAGGUGAGCUUUUUUCUUUCUAUCUUUAGCUACAAGUUUUUCUUUUAAUUUACUGAAUUAUGUAACAUAACAUGUGGUCCGCUGAAUAUGCAUAUUUGUUGAAGUCUUAAUUUGUAAUACAAAGGCUUGGGAAUUGUUUAUUUUUGAAGCCCCUACUUAUAUGGACCCUUUAGCAUAAUUGCAAUGGCAUGCCUUGCUCUGUUUCUUUACCCUCUCACCAUAACUGAAGCCGAGCGAGGAAUUCCUUAUCUUCUUAAGCGUGUUCGAGGUGUAUUUGAGAAGAUAUUUUCUUUAAUAAAUGAUUUUUAGACACCUAGGGUAAUCUUUAUUUUUGUUAAAUUUGCAUAAUAAUUUUUAUUGACAGACAUUAAUAUUGUAUUCUAAUUAAAAAAGAGAUGACUUUGAGUUUCAGUUCUGCUCAGGGGAACAUUGGCUCAAAACUUCAUUAACCAGAACUUUCAUGUAUACGGAUGUUUUGAAUUAGAUGUGUGUAGUAUUUUCUUAGUUUUUUUAAUAUAUAACUUAAUUUAUGAUUUAGGUUAUUAUGGACAGUCACAUAUUUUUAGUUUUUAUAUAUAACUUAAUUUUAUCUGCAUUUAUUAUGAAUUUGUAAUAUGUUUUUUUUAUUAUGAUUUAACACAAAUGCAUUUUUAGUGGUCUUACAAUUGCAUGACGAUAUUUGUUGGUUGUUUUUGUUUUAUCGGAUAACCAUAAUGAUGUCUUGGAAGUAGAAGUUGCUCGGACUCUCAUCUUCAUUCACCAUGUUCACCACAGUGUUGUUGUCGUCGUUGGAUGUGAGCUUUGUGUAUGGAGAUGGAGCUUUUCGCUAUGGUGUUAUCACAUGUGAAACUAAUUAGGUGUUCCUCACUUUCUUGAACUUUCAUGAUUUUUUCAUGGAACCCAGGUAAAACUUCUCAACAAUGGCCUUUGCUUUGCUAAUUUAUUCCUAACUGCAAUUUUGUUAUUAAAAAAUACAGUUACUUUACUAUUCAAAUGUUGAGGUAGUUCUUGCUCGUGUUUGGACAUUAUUAAAGUUUUAUGAUUGGCUCUUAUUACUAGCAAGAAACUCCGUUGCUUCAACACAGUGGCAAUUCAUGCAUCUUUGAUUCAUUUCUACAGGAAUACGCUAUCAAAGGAUUUCCAAAUUGGAGAAUAUAUUGUUAUUGACCAAAGAGCUAAGGAAGUAAAACCUAUAGCAGAGUUUGCACUCCAUGUCAUCAUUUUAUUCUUAGUAAUUUGUUGGUUGAUACAUAUAACUUUCAUUGUUCAAUGUAAUAUGUAAUUACUCUUUCGAUGUUUAUUAAAUAUCACAUUUAACUUUUUCGUUGUUUAA